rnacentral:lncRNA from 14 species
AAGAUGACUUUUGCAAGUACAUCUGUUAUCAUCCUGCUGACCCAAGAUGUGGAAUGAAGGUGAAUAAAGUGAAGAUGUUUAGAUUCAUGCGUUGGGUUUUUGAAGUUCUUGAGGUUUGGAAAAACAGCAUGUCUUUUACCUCUGGCUUUUCAGGCAUGUUUUCUGGGCACUGAGUCUCUGGAAACACUUCCAGAAAAACGGAUCUUGGGGUCCAGCUGCCACAGCAUAUUUCUGAAAGCAGUUUUGUUCUAGUAACUUCUGUCUUUGUUAUUUCUUUCCUACAGUGAUAUCUUAUGUUCAGCCCUGCAGACAACCUGGUGCCAUUAAGCCACAUCCAUCCUAUUGUUUUGCAGUGCUUCCAAUUUGCAUGGAAAAUUACUCAGGGAGACCACCUGUCAUUCUGCAUGGUGAUGGAAGGUGUUCAGCUCACAGUGCAAGGGAAGGGUCCUUUCUCAGCUGACAUCGAGUGAAGGAGGCAGGCAGUGAUUACUGAAAACCACAGUCUAUGCUGAGUACCAUGAUGGUGGAAGGAUGGCGAACUACCUCUUGGCUCUGAUCACACCUUCUUCUGCAUAGAAGCCGAUUCAAAGAUUCCUGCUGGCUUUGGUGGGUCACAUCCUAAUGUCUCUCAGCUGGUAGCUUAGCAUAGAAUCAUAGAAUAGUUAGGGUUGGAAAGGACCUUAAGAUCAUCUAGUUCCAACCCCCCUGCCAUGGGCAGGGACACCUCACACUAAACCAUGAAUCUCAAUGAUGUUCACAAAGUUCCAAUGUGAACUUCAAAACUGACCUCUUUCUACCCUGAAGAGUUUUCAUGGACCAUGUAAGUGAAGUCCAAUGGAUACUGUGGUCUACAGGGUUCUGCAGAGAGAUGUUGGGAAGGCUGUAUCCUUUUAGGGACAUGAACUGGGUAUGUACAUGGACUGGAAGAGAGGUUAAGUUAUUGUAACAUUAAUUUUCCAUUUGAGGACACUCCGACAUGUGCCCAGAGAAAUGAAUACGUAGCUAGCUUAUCAAGCAAAUGCAUUUGGAUAUUUUCCCUCACACUCAGCAAUGGACUAUUCUUAGUAACUAAUAAUACACAUGUGCCUUGCAGCAUGCUUUCUGAUAGCCUUGUUUCUAUUCUUUAGGGAUCUAAUAUUUUACUGUAUUUCCAAAGAAUCCCGG